rnacentral:rRNA from 1 species
UACGGAGGGUGCAAGCGUUAUCCGGAUUCACUGGGUUUAAAGGGUGCGUAGGCGGCGCGGUAAGUCGGGUGUGAAAUCUCGGGGCUUAACUCCGAAACUGCAUUCGAUACUGCCGUGCUUGAGGACUGGAGAGGAGAUUGGAAUUCACAGUGGAGCAGUGAAAUGCGUAGAUAUUGUGAGGAACACUAGUGGCGAAGGCGAAUCUCUGGACAGUUCCUGACGCUGAGGCACGAAGGCCAGGGGAGGCAAACGGG